CCUCCUACCUGAAUACUGCUAGGCUCAAGCAGCCGUGCGCGAACUGCGAAGUCGUCUUCAGGUCUUCUACCGGCGUCUUCUACUACCUCCCGCCUCCGCGCAAACAGGAGCAGCCGCAGGAAGCUUUAUGAGGUAGCUCUGUACUAGCACACAAGUAGGCAGUAGCUGCGCCGCUGUCCCGUUUUAAGUGUUUUCUCAGUGUAUUUCCCUUUCUUCAGAAAGAACAGAGCCCGUGGGCGAAAUUUCGCGUGGAAUUUUCCCGGGAAAUAAUGGAGGGACGGAAGGGGGGACGCGAUUUUUGCAGCUGCGGUUUCGAUGGCGGAGGACGACAAUGGUUGGCGUCGUUGUCGGAUCCCCUUGGCAUGGGAUAAAUGUCGGCCCUCGGAAUUGGCAGCUUGG
rnacentral:lncRNA from 1 species